GGUUGAUCCUGCCAGUAGUCAUAUGCUUGUCUCAAAGAUUAAGCCAUGCAUGUGUAAGUUUAAGCCCCUGUACGGCAAAACUGCGAAUGGCUCAUUAAAACAGUUAUAGUUUAUUUGAUAAUCAACUUACUACAUGGAUAACUGUAGUAAUUCUAGAGCUAAUACAUGCGUCAGAACCCAACUUCACGGAAGGGUCGUGUUUAUUAGAUACAAAACCAACCUGGGUUCGCCCCAGAGCUUGUUGGUGAUUCAUAAUAACCAAACGGAUCGGCGGUCCCGCCGACAGAUCAU
rnacentral:rRNA from 1 species